AGAGAGAGAGAGAGAGAGGAGAUACAUACACACACACAUAUAUAUAUACAUAUAUAUAUAUUAUACACACAUAUAUAUCUACAUAUAUAUAUUAUACACACACACACAUAUACAUAUAUAUAUUAUACACACACACAUAUAUAGACCACACUUUACUCUGAUCCCCCCCUUUUGCUUACAGACUGGCACAGACACCCACACCCACCCUUACACAUCGGCUUCCCCUUUCUCAGUUGCCGGCGGAGGUUGUUGUUCAGCUUCCCCCUUUUUCUCCAUUGACAACAAUGAAGGUUCGGAGACAUUCCUUCCCCUUGUUUCCCCUGGUUUGGUUAUUCCUUUAUUAAAGGAAGGUAGGAUUACAGAAUGUGUGUUUGGGAGGGGAGAUCUCUUCUUUCUCUCCCUCCCGCCCCAGAAAGGCGAGAUUUCUUCCCCACUCUUGCUGAAAAGAGGGAAAAUUCCUACAGGAUCUUUGAAUGGGGAGCCUCAGUUACAAAUCUCCCAUGGAAGACUUCAAAAGCACCCAAGUCCUGCGAAUUCUCCAGCUAUAUUUAUUGAGAUUUACUUCGACGGUCUUUAGCUAAUUAAGUAAUUAAUUGCUUAAGCGUUAGGAGCCCGAAGCCUAAUAAUUGGCAGCUUGCUUCAAAUCCACCCAGGGAAGUCCACUCCCAUUCUUUGCGUCUGGGACCCCUUCUGGACUGCCAUAUAGAAUCCGGAUUAUCUGAUUUGAACUGGAUUAUAUGGCAGUGUAGACUCAGAUAAUCCAGUUUAAAGCAAGCAGAUAAUGUGCAUUAUCUGCUUUGGUCAUCUGGAUUAUAUGGCAGUGUAGAAGGGGCCCUACAUUGCCAUAUAAAAUCCGGAUAAUCUGCUUUGAACUGGAUUAUAUGGCAGAGUAGACUCGGAUAAUCCAGUUCAAAGCAGAUUAUGUGGAUUAUCUGCUUUGAUCUUCUGGAUUAUAUGGCAGUGUAGAAGGGGCCCUACACUGUCAUAUAAAAUCCAGAUUAUCUACUUUGAACGGGAUUAUAUAGCAGCGUAAACUCAUAAUCCAGUUCUAUUAUAUUUUAUUAUAUUGUAUUGUUCUGGGCAUGGCCCCAUGUAAGCCGCCCUGAGUCCCCGUUGGGGAGAUGGUGGCGGGGUAUAAAUAAAGUUUAUUAUUUAUUAUUAUUAUUAAAGCAGAUAAUGUGGAUUAUCUGCUUGAUAAGCCACAUCUGCUUUGAACUGGAUUAUCCGAGUCUAUAAUGCCAUAUAAAAUCCAGAUUAUCUGCUUUGAACUGGACUAUAUGGCAAUGUGGACGCAGAUAAUCCAGUUCAAAGCAGAUAAUGUGCAUUAUCUGCUUUGAUAAUCUGGAUCAUAUGGCAGUGUAGAAGAGGCCCUACACUGCCAUAUAAAAUACGGAUUAUCGGCUUUGAACUGGAUUAUAUGGCAGUGUAAAAGAAAAGGUAAUGGUUUUCCCCUGACGUUAAGUCCAGUCAUGUCUGACUUUGGGGGUUGGUGCUCAUCUCCAUUUCUAAGACGAAGAGCCGGCGUUGUCCAUAGACACCUCCAAGGUCAUGACUGCAUGGAGCGCCGUUACCUUCCUGCCGGAGCGGUACCUAUUGAUCUACUCACAUUGGCAUGUUUUCGAACUGCUAGGUUGGCAGGGGCUGGGGCUAACAGCGGCCGUUCAUGCCACUCCCGGGUAUGGCAGUGAAGACUCGGAUAAUCCAGUUCAAAGCAGAUGAUGUGGAUUUUCUGCUUUGACAAUCUGUAUUAUAUGGCAGCAUAGACAGGGCAUUACACUAUCAUUUAAAAUCUGGAUUAUCUGCUAUGAAAUGGAUUAUAUUUAUUUAUUUAUUUACAGAAUUUAUAUUCCGCCCUUCUCACCCCGAUGGGGACUCAGGGCGGAUCACAUUACACAUAUAGGCAAACAUUCAAUGCCUUUUAACAUAGAACACAGACAAGCAAACAUAGGCUCAGAGCGGCCUCGAACUCAUGACCUGGUCAGAGUGAUUCAUUGCAGUUAAUUGCAGCUGGCUUGCUUUCCCGCAUGCACCACAACCCGGCAGUGUAGUCUCGGAUAAUCCAGUUCAAAGCAGAUGAUGUGAUUAUCUGCUUUGAUCAUCUGGAUUAUAUGUCAUUGUAGAAGGGGCCAUAAACAAGAAAUGCAUUGUCCUCAUUAGAUUUGAAACUGAGCUUUCCAAAGUUGUGUUGCGACAUGUUUAUGUGGUGGCUGCAGUGCGUACGUGUGUUCGCACAAUCAUAAAUGACAAAAAAUCUUGGAAAUGCAUGUUAUUAUUAUAGGCCCCUUCUACACUGCCAGAUAAUCCAGGUUAUCAAAGCAGAACAUCCACAUUAUCUGAUUUCAACUGGAUUAUUUUAGGGCCCUUUCAGAUAGGCCCUAUAUCUCAGCAUCUAAUACCAGGUUUUCUGCUUUAAACUGGAUUAUAUGAGUCCCCACUGCCAGAUAAUCUGGGAUAGACAGAAAACCUGGGAUCAGAUCCUGGGAUAUAGGGUCUGUCUGGAAGGGCCCUUAGUCUACACUGUCAUAUAGUCCAGUUCAAAGUAGAUAAUCUGGAUUUUAUACAACUGUGUUGAUGGGGCCUUACAAAUAAUAUUUUUUCUAAAAAUAUUUUUAAAAAUUAGUGUUAGGAGUGACUUGAGAAACUGCAAGUCGCUUCUGGUGUGAGAGAAUUGUCUGUCUGCAAGGAUAUUGCCCAGGGGACGCCUGAAUGUUUUUUGAUGUUUUUACCAUCCUUGUGGGAGGCUUCUCUCAUGUCCCAAAAAUAUAAAUGAAAGGUUUUCAUGAGAUGUGUUGCAUCCCCAUACAUGUGCCUUGUUUUAAAUGUAGUUGUCCUUGUAUUUUAUGAUGUACCGGGCUUCGUCCGCAUGUGAGCCGCCCCGAGUCCCUUCGGGGAGAUGGGGUGGGAUACAAAAAUAAAUUAUUAUUAUUAUUAUUA